rnacentral:rRNA from 1 species
CAGUCGCCGCGGGAAUACAGAGGGUGCGAGCGUUAAUCGGAUUUACUGGGCGUAAAGCGUGCGUAGGCGGCUUUUUAAGUCGGAUGUGAAAUCCCUGAGCUUAACUUAGGAAUUGCAUUCGAUACUGGGAAGCUAGAGUAUGGGAGAGGAUGGUAGAAUUCCAGGUGUAGCGGUGAAAUGCGUAGAGAUCUGGAGGAAUACCGAUGGCGAAGGCAGCCAUCUGGCAUAAUACUGACGCUGAGGUACGAAAGCAUGGGGAGCAAACAGGAUUAGAUACCCCCGUAGUCCCUGUCUCUUAUAC